UACGUAGGUGACAAGCGUUGUCCGGAUUUACUGGGCGUAAAGAGCGCGCAGGCGGUCGUUCAAGUCGAGUGUGAAAGCCCCCGGCUCAACUGGGGAGGGUCAUUCGAUACUGAUCGACUCGAAGGCAGGAGAGGGAAGUGGAAUUCCCGGUGUAGUGGUGAAAUGCGUAGAUAUCGGGAGGAACACCAGUGGCGAAGGCGGGUCUCUGGGCAGUAACUGACGCUGAGGAGCGAAAGCGUGGGGAGCGAACAGG
rnacentral:rRNA from 1 species